GGCGUCGAUCGACGCGGUCAACCCUUUUUACACUCUCGUUUCACUAUGAGGAGCCAUGUCAUCGGGAGAUGAUUAUCAUCAACUUUUUACAUGAAUUCAUAUAUGAUAACACUAUAAGAGUAUGAGUGUCGGUAGAAUCAAUAAAGUCAGUACCAACAUUGCAGUUCAACGUGUUUUUUGUGUAACUACAAUGGUCAAAUUAUGGUUGAUCACAAGUCUUCUAUAUUCAGACAACCCUUAAUAUUUUGUUGCGUUGUCUAAUUGUGAGUGAAAACUAGCGGGAAAUCUGCUGCUCUUACAAAUUUGAUUGGGUAUUUAAGCUUCUAAAUUUAGACAACCAUAAUGAUAUUAUGCGUUGUGUGAUUUUAAGAGUGAAUAGUACUCAGACAACCAUAAUGCUACUAUACAUUGUAUGACUAUAAGAGUGAAAAGUACUAGCAGGAAAUCUCCCGCUUUUACAAUCUUAGAUGAAUAUAUAACACUCUCUUCAGACGACAAACUUGGUUUGUUGCGUUGUCUAAUGUGUUAAUGUUUCAAUUUGACUAUAAGAGUGAAAAGUACUAGCGGGAAAUCUCCCGCUUUUACAAUCUUAGAUGAAUAUAUAACACAUUCUCUUCAGACGACAAACUUACAAUCUUAGAUGAAUAUAUAACACACUCUCUUCAGACGACAAACUUGGUUUGUUGCGUUGUCUAAUGUGUUAACAAAAAAAAUACUUAAAAAAAAACACUAGCCUCUCAAUUUCUCAAACCCUAAGCCCUUAAUUGGACAUUCAUUUAACCUAGCUAGCUAACAAACUUGCGCCCACUUCUACACUUACACAAAAAAUCCAAAUCCGUCUCCCCAUUCUUCUUCUCUCUUUCGCCCGCACCUCACUCUUUAAUAUUGAGUUUAAUAUUGAGUAGCCGAACCCAAUCAAAGUUCCUCUACAAACACUAUCUCUUCUUCUACAAUUGCAGUAGGACUUCCUAAUGCUCUCUUCAAUUACAGGUUUAGAGGACGGGUUCUUCCUAAUGCUCUCUCUCUCUCUCUCCUAACUUACUCUCUUCUCCACUCGAUUUUGUCUCAAUAUAUUCUCAAUCGAACUGAGAAACAUAAAACUUGCCACCCUCUCUCUCGAUUAGGGCGGGAUUCGAUUAGUACUCUAGAACAGGUUCUUCGAAUGAGGGUUUCUAGGCUUCUUUGAUUCACUGAGUUUGGUUAGGGUCAUAUUCGAUUAUGUUCUGGGACUAGGUCUUCUAUUUGGGGGUAUCUAGGCUUCUUGGAUUCGGUGAGUUAACUUUGUGGAUCUUUUAUUUAGGUGCCUCAUAAAGUGAGGAAUUUCUUGAAGUUGAGAGUAGCGAAACCAUCGGCAAUGUCAAAGCCAAGAUCCAGGUACGUGUUUUUGUCUCCCUCCCUAUUCUAAUUUUCUGUAAUAAGAUUUCUAUCUAAAUGUGUUCAAGAUUUUUGUUGGGAUGUACUUUUGAUUAUUAGCUAGUAUUGGUAGGUUCUUUAGAAUGCUUAGAUCAAAAAUAGAGCAAAGAUCACAUAGUGCACAGCACAUGUUUGAUAUUAUGUCUCAAAGACACCACCAAGCUAAAACCAGUGGGCUUUUCCAAGAUUUUCGAAAAGCUUAUAAUUCUUCUUUUAAUCUCAGUUUUUAACAGUUAAAAAUAGACUCUUCAAUAAUCGUUUUAAAAUUGGUUUCAAGCAAAACAGAGUUGAUUUGAGAAACUUGUGCUAUUUUGAAGUUCACAAGUGUUUUAAAAUCUUCUGUAGAAACUGCA
rnacentral:lncRNA from 1 species